rnacentral:rRNA from 1 species
UACGUAGGGGGCAAGCGUUGUCCGGAAUCAUUGGGCGUAAAGCGCGUGUAGGCGGCCUUGUAAGUCCGUUCUGAAAGCCCGGGGCUCAACCCCGGGAGGCGGAUGGAUACUGCAAGGCUCGAGUCCGGAAGAGGCGAGUGGAAUUCCCGGUGUAGCGGUGAAAUGCGCAGAUAUCGGGAGGAACACCGGUGGUGUAGACGGCUUUCUGGACCGUAACUGACGCUGAGACACGAAAGCGUGGGUAGCAAACAGG